AUUUGUUCGUUGCUUUUAUAUCCUUAAAAAAUAUUUCUUUAUAUAUUUAAUACACAAUUACACUAUUUUUUCCUCACUUUUUUACUCAAUCAUAAUUUUUUUUUUUUUUCUCAAUUUUUUCCUUAUAACUAGGUCAUUUUUAACAAGAAAAUAACUGCAAAAUGAAUUAUGAACAUUCUAAACGUGAACACAAUAACUGCGAGCACAUAAAUUACGAAAACACCAAAUCCGAGAACACCGAUUGUGGUCUCACCGAUUGUGGUCUCACCGAUUAUGGUCUCACACAUAACAAAAUGAGCCUGUUUUGUAAAGAAUUUGACAUGAAUUACGUCAUAGAGCAACACAAAAAAAAUUUUAAACAAAGAAAAUACAUAUUAAGUAAUAUUAACAGUGAAAUAUUAAAUACGCAAAGAAACAAAAGAAAUUUAGAUAAAUAUGAAAAGAGCUUAAUUGAUAAGCAGGCCCAAAUUAUAAUUCAAACAAAAUUUAAUUAUAAAAAAUUGAAUAAUAUAAAUGAUAUAAAAUACUACUUACCAUAUUGUAUACAACCCAAAACAAACAACACUGAUGCAUGUCUAUCAGAAAAUAUAUACCAAAAAAAUAGGAAAAAACAAAACAUUCUUAGAGAAUUAAAGAUAAAGAAGAAACUAACUGAAUAUAAAAUUAAUCACUUCUUGAAAAAAUACACAGGUUUAUUUUUUGGCUCUAAAUUUAAAGCUUUACAUUUAAAACGGUAUAUUUUUUUAUCCUACACUUUUUACUUAAUUCAUUUUACUUUUUUUCUUUUUUUUUUUUUUUUUUUUAUAUAUUUAUUAGGGAAAAUCCAAAAAAAUAAUAUUCUAUAUAAAGAACUAUCUAAAUUAUAUAACGAGCAAAGUCCAGUUGAAAUCUAUGUCAAAAAUAAGAAAAACAACAAAAUAAAAAUUGAUGUAGUAGUUGGGCAUGUUACUUUUUUUGACCCAAAUCUGAACCUAUUACUUGAAAGUGUUACAGUUGUAUACAAAAAAUAGAAACAAACAAAUGAACAUAUAAAUACAUAUUUAUAACUUUAUGUUUAGCUUAUAUUCUCCGUUAUAUUAAUAAAUCUUCAGCUUAUCAGGA
rnacentral:lncRNA from 1 species